rnacentral:rRNA from 1 species
AUGCAGUCGCUGCAGGACAAGGCGUCGGAGUGGAGCGGCGUCGCGGCCGCCGACGCCUUCGCCAUCGACGAAGUCAACGUCUUCGAGGCGCUCGGCGGCACCCCGCAGCCCUUCGUCGACCUCUCCACCAACUUCUACACCAGGGUUUAUGAGGACGAGGAGGAGUGGUUCCGGGAGAUAUUCUCGGGGUCCAAGAAGGAGGACGCGAUCCAGAACCAGUACGAGUUCUUGGUGCAGCGGAUGGGCGGCCCGCCGCUAUUCUCCCAGAGGAGAGGACAUCCUGCCUUGAUAGGACGACAUCGGCCAUUCCCAGUUACCCACCGAGCUGCGGAGCGAUGGCUACACCACAUGCAGCAAGCUCUGGAAACCACCGAAAGCAUAAACCCAGAUACAAAACCCAAAAUGAUGAAUUUUUUCAGGCACACUGCAUACUUCCUUGUCGCCGGUAAUGAGAUGACAAGGCAAACCCAAAGUGUACCUCCCUGCAAACAUGCAACGAGCAAACCAGCCGAGUAA